GCGGGUGUAGCUCAGUGGGAGAGCGCAUGCUGAGCAUCCACGAGGUCCUGGGUUCAAUCCCCAGUGCCGCCA
rnacentral:tRNA from 1 species